UGAGAUAAGAAGUGGGAAGUGCUGUCCCACAUGGACUAGAUAUGAAAGCUGGCUGUACAAGGACAUAGCAUAAAAGGGAGUUGAGGACACGACUCAAAGCAUACCUUUCUCGGCCUUUUGGCUAAGAUCAAGUGUAGUAUCUGUUCUUAUCAGUUUAAUAUCUGAUACGUGGGACAUCGUCCCACAUGAUAUUAAAUUUAUAUUUUUAGGGGAAGGGCCCAUCACAAUAGCUUGCUAUUGGGGUCCUUGAGCGUCGCCCUUGCGUUGCACUACUGCUUGGGCCUGGCGCACCCCUCCAAUAAAAGUCUACAAAUGCCUUCACAGUUUCAUUAUCUAAUUUGAUUGAGUGUAGAACAUAAAUACGCAACUUUUGGCACUAAACCCAUAACUCUCAUGGCAAUGGAACCACACUCAAUACUGUCACAAUGCAGCCGACCCAUUGUGUGACUGCUGGAAGCUUGCUCACCUAAGUGUCUCUUGGAUAGUUAAAAGAUUAGGAAGAAGAAUGUGACUAGAAAAUGGUCCUUGAAACUGAGGUGUGUGGAGGAUAAGAGUGGAGCUUGGCUUUUGUCAACAAGAUCUAUCUCCCAAAUGUGGCUAAGAUUUGAGUUCAACCAUGUACUUUAGCUUCUGUGGGCGGUAUCUUCUAUUGUAAGACGAAUGCAAUGAGGAAUUCAAUUUUUUUUUUUUUUUUUUAAAGCAUUACACUUUUGGAGGUUCUUGAGUUUUUGGUGUCUAAAUGGUACUCAGAGCUUGAUGUUUGAUAACAUAGUGUGCCAUGUCAAUGAUUUAAUAUAGUUUGUACAAACUCUG